rnacentral:tRNA from 1 species
GAUCCGACCUUAGCUCAGUUGGUAGAGCGGAGGACUGUAGUGUUGUGGCAUGGUAAUCCUUAGGUCGCUGGUUCGAAUCCGGCAGGUCGGAAGCCUUC